CUCAUCUUUUUCCUCUCACCUUUCAUACCUCCCAGUAGCCAAGGAUGCCCUACUGAAAAUAUUACUGCUUUUCAGCAUAAUGAAUCACUGUACUAAUGUUGAUUUUUCUCAAGUAUUUUGUCACAGUGAAGGAGUGCUGACAUAUAUAGACAAGAAGCAGCAAAAACAACACUCCAGCAUGGGAUAUGAAAUAAAUAGCAUACCAAUAAAGAAAAGAUGAGAUGGAAUGGAGCCUUCUGG
rnacentral:lncRNA from 1 species